UUUGUCUAUAGAAAGAUAUAAAUAUUCUAAUAUCUCCAGACGUCUUUUCAAAAAAUUAAGAAAAGCUUGCACAGAUAUUAACAGUCUGUCUAAUUGUGUGUUCUUUACAUAAUUAAUGUAAUACUUUGCCUGUAGAAUACAAUAAUUUAAAACUAAGUUAUCAGAAUUUAAUACACCAAAAAUGACACUGUCUUUAUUCAAAAAUAUU
rnacentral:lncRNA from 1 species